ACUACGGGUGGCAGCAGUGGGGAAUAUUGCACAAUGGGGGAAACCCUGAUGCAGCAACGCCGCGUGAGUGAAGAAGGUGUUCGGAAUGUAAAGCUCUGUUAGCAGGGAAGAGGAAGGACGGUAACUGAAGAGGAAGCCACGGCUAACUACGUGCCAGCAGCCGCGGUAAUACGUAGGUGGCAAGCGUUGUUCGGAAUAACUGGGCGUAAAGGAUGCGUAGGCGGUUAAACAAGUUAUAUGUUAAAUAUAUAGGCUUAACCUGUAGAACGCAUCUAAAACUUUUUAACUAGAGUGCAGGAGAGGUAAGUGGAAUUCCUAGUGUAGCGGUGACAUGCGUAGAGAUUAGGAAGAACACCAGUGGCGAAGGCGACUUACUGGACUGUAACUGACGCUGAGGCAUGACAGCCUGUGGAGCAAACAGGAUUAGAUACCCUGGUAGUC
rnacentral:rRNA from 1 species